GACCGUUUUUCAUAAAGUUAUGACUCAACAAGCUAUGACGUAAACAAUAAGUUUGAAAAUAUCGUUUUAAAGCGAUUGGAAUCACUGCUGAGGCGCAGGCGUGGCUGUAUCGUAAGAAGUUUGCUUCCCAGCCACAAGACUCCAGCUUCAAUACCAUUGUGUGACAUUUCGGUGAUGUGUCUUCGAAUACAGUUUUGGGCACAAAUCUACAAGUUUGAGGAGGCUAGUUGAUUCCAUCAGCCCCAGUACUCAGCAGGUAUUUAUUUCACUGACCCCAAAACGGUGCUAAGUAUUUCGUCCAGUGUGCUGACAAUCCUUCCAGCUUCCCUAUAAUAAUAGGAUGUUUAACACGCGAAAACAUUAAAAUAUAUUUCCUCCAAUAAAUGAAUCCAACCACCCCACCAAAAAAUAAGAACAGACGAAAUGUUGGUAUCGUGUAAAAUACAAGACGUUUCUUUCGUAUAUAUGGUAAUCAGUGAAGCGAACGUUAAUUCAAUUAUUUUGCACUAGCAACUUAUAGAUUGAUUUUAUUUGAUCAUACAAAAAGAAAGGCAAGGAAGAAAGCGUAUGAAAAUGGAAAACGGACUGAAGAAACAAUCGUCGCAAGAGUAAAAAGAGUACGUAGAUAUAAGAGGCUUUAAGUUACUUCUAUUAUCUAAAUAGAAAAAAAUUGUCGAGGGAUUCUGUGCCAAAAAUACUUUCACCAAAUAUAUAUCGCAGCUGAUAUGAAAGGCAACAAACUUACUACACUUACUGUGCAACCAGGCGUAUUUAUUAGACGCGGUGAAAGUCUUCGAGGCACAAAUACAAGUGUGCAUUCGAUCCAUUAUGUUAAUGUUUUUCAGGUUUAUCCGGACACAAAAUUGUCGCCCCAAGUUUUGAUGAUUCGAAAUUAUUGAUUACAAACACAGCGGUAGCACACCUCUUAUGUUGCUUGUAGUCUAUUAAAGUCACUCGCAUUCAGCUCUUUCUUCGUUUGCUUUCCUAAACGAACGAAAUUAACUUCCAUGUACG